AGAGUUUGAUCAUGGCUCAGGACGAACGCUGGCGGCACGCCUAACACAUGCAAGUCGAACGGACGAGAGGAAGCUUGCUUCCUUGAGUUAGUGGCGGACGGGUGAGUAACACGUGAGCAACCUGCCUCUGAGAGAGGGAUAGCUUCUGGAAACGGAUGGUAAUACCUCAUAACAUAUUUAAAUCGCAUGAUUUGGAUAUCAAAGAAAUUCGCUCAGAGAUGGGCUCGCGUCUGAUUAGAUAGUUGGUGAGGUAACGGCUCACCAAGUCGACGAUCAGUAGCCGGACUGAGAGGUUGAACGGCCACAUUGGGACUGAGACAAGGCCCAAACUCCUACAGGAGGCAGCAAUGGGGAAUAUUGCACAACCCCCGAAACCCUGAAUGCACGAUGCCGCAUGGAUGAAGAAGGUUUUCGGAUUGAAAACUCCUUUUAUC
rnacentral:rRNA from 1 species